rnacentral:lncRNA from 1 species
GGGUUUCACCAUGUCAGCCAGGAUGGUCUCAAUCUGACCUUGUGAUCCGCCCGCCUCGGCCUCCCAAAGUGCUGGGAUUACAGGCAUGGGCCACUGCACCCGGCCCUUAGUUAAUUUCUGGACCAAGGAAUUGGAAUCUGGGGUCUUUCAGGAAACGACUGGGGAUUCAGCAACCUGCCAAAUUGAGCCUUGGAGCAGCCUCUGAGAUGUUAGCUGUGGAGGAGGAGGCCCCUGCUUCCUGGGGCCCAUCAUCCAUUCCCAAAAGUGCUGAGCAUUGCAGGCUCUUCAAGAGCUGCGGUCAACACCAGCUCCAGGCCUCGGGCUGGAAGCCUCUUCAGCAAGUGCCGCAGGGAGGCCCUGGGUGGGUGAGCCGGGAGGUAGAAUUGCGUAACAGCUCUCUAUCCAUUGCUGCGGUCAUUAGCCAUGGAGAGGGUGACGGGGGCUGUAACGGGGCAAGCCUCCCGGGUUCCAGCUGCCAUCCUCGCCCCUCUGGGCUCUUUCCUCCCUGGCUCUGCUGCAGCCGGAGCGGUUGCAGGGCACACAUUACUCGGUGCAGUCGGACAUCUGGAGCAUGGGCCUGUCCCUGGUGGAGCUGGCCGUCGGAAGGUACCCCAUCCCCCCGCCCGACGCCAAAGAGCUGGAGGCCAUCUUUGGCCGGCCCGUGGUCGACGGGGAAGAAGGAGAGCCUCACAGCAUCUCGCCUCGGCCGAGGCCCCCCGGGCGCCCCGUCAGCGGUCACGGGAUGGAUAGCCGGCCUGCCAUGGCCAUCUUUGAACUCCUGGACUAUAUUGUGAACGAGCCACCUCCUAAGCUGCCCAACGGUGUGUUCACCCCCGACUUCCAGGAGUUUGUCAAUAAAUG